rnacentral:rRNA from 1 species
UACGUAGGGUGCAAGCGUUAAUCGGAAUUGCUGGGCGUAAAGCGUGCGCAGGCGGUUUUGUAAGUCUGACGUGAAAUCCCCGGGCUCAACCUGGGAAUUGCGUUGGAGACUGCAAGGCUAGAAUCUGGCAGAGGGGGGUAGAAUUCCACGUGUAGCAGUGAAAUGCGUAGAGAUGUGGAGGAACACCGAUGGCGAAGGCAGCCCCCUGGGUCAAGAUUGACGCUCAUGCACGAAAGCGUGGGGAGCAAACAGG